CCUGGGUGGCAGCAGUGGGGGAUAUUGCACAAUGGGGGAAACCCUGAUGCAGCGACGCCGCGUGUGGGAAGACGGUCUUCUGGAUUGUAAACCACUGUCCCCAGGGACGAAAAUGACGGUACCUGGGGAGGAAGCUCCGGCUAACUACGUGCCAGCAGCCGCGGUAAUACGUAGGGAGCAAGCGUUGUCCGGAAUUACUGGGUGAAAGGGGAGCGUAGGCGGGGAUGCAAGUUGGGUGUCAAAACUACCGGCUCAACCGAUAGUCGCACUCAAAACUGCAGCUCUUGAGUGAAGUAGAGGCAGGCGGAAUUCCUAGUGUAGCGGUGAAAUGCGUAGAUAUUAGGAGGAACACCAGUGGCGAAGGCGGCCUGCUGGGCUUUUACUGACGCUGAGGCUCGAAAGUGUGGGGAGCAAACAGGAUUAGAUACCCUUGUAGUC
rnacentral:rRNA from 1 species